rnacentral:rRNA from 1 species
CACACACACACACACACCUUAAUGUAUAGAAUGUCUUUACUUUUUGCGGUCAUACGCAAUAAAUAAAUACAACUUUCAACAACGGAUCUCUUGGCUCUCGCAUCGAUGAAGAACGCAGCGAAAUGCGAUACGUAAUGUGAAUUGCAGAAUUCAGUGAAUCAUCGAAUCUUUGAACGCACCUUGCGCCCCUUGGUAUUCCGAGGGGCACACCCGUUUGAGUGUCGUGAACGUAUCCUCAACCUUCUUUUGGUUUUUUUGACCGGAGAAGGCUUGGACUUUGGAGGUCUUUCAUUGCUGGUAUCCUUUUGAAGCCAGCUCCUCCUAAAUGAAUCAGUGGGAUCCGCUUUGGUGAUCCUUGACGUGAUAAGCAUUAUUCUACGUCUUGGGUUUUCGCAGCACCUGCUUCCAACCGUCUUUAAACAAAGACAAUGUUCGGGUUUCGACUCGACCCACAAAACCUUGACCUCAAAUCGGGUGAGACUACCCGCUGAACUUAAGCAUAUCAAUAAGCGGAGGAAAAGAAACUAACAAGGAUUCCCCUAGUAACUGCGAGUGAAGCGGGAAAAGCUCAAAUUUAAAAUCUGGUGGCCUUUG